GAUGAACGCUGGCGGCGUGCCUAAUACAUGCAAGUCGAGCGAACAGACGAGGAGCUUGCUCCUCUGACGUUAGCGGCGGACGGGUGAGUAACACGUGGAUAACCUACCUAUAAGACUGGGAUAACUUCGGGAAACCGGAGCUAAUACCGGAUAAUAUAUUGAACCGCAUGGUUCAAUAGUGAAAGACGGUUUUGCUGUCACUUAUAGAUGGAUCCGCGCCGCAUUAGCUAGUGGGUAAGGUAACGGCUCACCAAGGCAACGACGGGUAGCCGACCUGAGAGGGUGAACGGCGACAGUGGGACUGAGACACGGCCAAGACUCCGACGGGAGGCAGCAGUGGGGAAUAUUGCACAAUGGGCGCAAGCCUGAUGCAGCAACGCCGCGGGAGGGACGACGGCCUGCGGGUUGGAAACAUCUUGUAGCAGGGAAGAAGCGAAAGUGAGGGUACCUGAAGAAAAAGCACCGGCUAACUACGUG
rnacentral:rRNA from 1 species